rnacentral:rRNA from 1 species
ACUCAAAGGAAUAGACGGGGACCCGCACAAGCAGCGGAGCAUGUGGUUUAAUUCGAAGCAACGCGAAGAACCUUACCAAGACUUGACAUCAAGUGCAAUCUGUUUAAAGACAGACCUCCUUUUCGGACACGAAGACAGGUGGUGCAUGGUUGUCGUCAGCUCGUGUCGUGAGAUGUUCGGUUAAGUCCGGCAACGAGCGCAACCCCUAUGAUCAGUUGCCAAUAUUAAGUUAGGAACUCUGGUCAGACUGCCGCGGAUAACGCGGAGGAAGGUGGGGAUGACGUCAAAUCAUCAUGCCCCUUACGUCUUGGGCCACACACGUGCUACAAUGGGCGCUACAAAGAGCAGCGAGACGGCAACGUUAAGCGAAUCUCAAAAAAGCGUUCUCAGUUCGGAUUGAGGGCUGCAACCCGCCCUCAUGAAGCAGGAGUUGCUAGUAAUCCCGAAUCAGAAUGUCGGGGUGAAUGCGUUCCCGGGUCUUGUACACACCGCCCGU